UUCGAUUUUUAGGUAUUUUUUGAGGUUAUUGAUUUAUUUUUAGACUUUGUUUGCAUCUGAGUCUGGAAACAGCUGAAGAUUUAGGGAAAUAUUGAAAAUUCGUCAAUAUGUAAACAAACUGUCAGCUGAGGUAGAGGCAGGGUGUCAGUGUUUUCAGCUAUUAUUUGCUUCGUCUCUCACUUACUGUAAGCCAAACAUGUCAUAAGAUGGAGCCACAUGUCUAGCCUUCAUAUCCGUUGGUCAAAUAUAUACACCAUUGCCUAGUUUUGUUGUCAAGAAGGAAUAAUUGAGGUAAUAUGGCGGCCAGCUCCCCCACUGAGGUCGCUACCGAGGGCCGCCAUGAUGGAUUGUUGCCUGUUCCAGCUUGCUGGUUCCAAUAUUUUUUAAAUUUUUUCUGAAUGACUUUAUUUGGCUUGUAUAGUAAGAUUUUAUGGUUUCUAAAAAUAUUUCGUUGCUUUUGAAAAGCUUUUCUUGCUUCUGUUAAGUAAAUGUACCGAAUUUUCUGCGGUUUUUUUUUUUGUGUAGGUAAAGGGCGGUUUAUACGGUGAUCUUUACCCAAAGUGAUUUUCGGCUCUUUUAUUUGAGGCUUUAAUGAAGAUCUUAUUGUUUCAAAAAAUCGUUUAAGAUAUAUGUAUUGUUUUGCGUUCCUGUUGAGUUAAGUGUGUGGACUUUGAAUAGGCUUAUGGUCCCAUUAAAAGUGGUGUUUUUGUCAUUUUUAAAUUUUUUUAUUUCUCUAUUUCAGCCUGUAACUAACUUUGCAAUGCUUGAAAAAAUAAUUUAGAUUUUUUAAAGUGUUUUUUUUUACUGGUGUAAAGUGAAAUGGGUGGACUUUUCAGUGUUUUUAAUGGUGUCAAAGUUAAGACACUUUUUCCAUAUUUCAUAUUAAUAUUUCUUUACAACUACUCAGGCUGGAGAUGUUUUGAUAUUGUGAAUAUUAAUUAAAGUAAUUGUCAAGUUAGAAUAUAUAAGGUAUUCAAGCCUAGCUUAAUUUUCUCUAGGGGUCAAUUUUAAAAUGAAAUACGUUACGUACGUGUGGCAGCGGGUAGCCUGUGACGUCAUCAAGAAUCCGGGACUCACUCGGCUCCAGUGUCUCCUUGUCAAUAUUUACCGUAAUUUCCAGUGUUUUCCAGGUGUUUCCAGCUUUUUCCAAACUCAGGCAUGUAGGUAAUAGUAGAAGGAGAAAAACUGGAGAAAUGGAGGAGGAGGAGGAGGAAAUAAGUAAAAAUAGAGGAAGAGGAGGAGGCAGCAUAACAGAUUCCUCAAGACCUCUUCAUCGACAUUGUAGAGUCCAAGAACUUCCUUGCCUGUGCACUGACUGGUCUCUUCGCCAACGCUGAGGACAGCACCACCUGCCUGCCAUCUCCCUUGGUCCUCAAGGCUCGUCACUUCAAGGACCAUCUCUCUCUGCCAAGUUCGAGUGAGAUCUGACACUUGGGGACGAGGAAGGCUCGUCACUUCAAGGACCAUCUCUCUCUGCCAAGUUCGAGUGGGAUCUGACACUUGGGGACGAGGAGGAGUAUGUGCCGGUGGUGGCCAUCAUGACUUGAGUGUACGCAGCACCUGCAGCCAAACUUUGACGGUGUCUUUGGAGGAUGAGCCAGAACGGAAGGUGCCCUUUCACACUACACGUUGCUCCUUCACACUACAUGCUGUUCCUCCAGUUAAAGAUGUAAACAAAGCGGUACAUUCCUUCCAGCUGGGGAUAAAACUUUCUCUCGCUCUCCCUCGCUCUCCCUCACCUCUCCCACGUCACGGAAGCAGUAAAAUAGAGCACACGAGGAGGAAGUGAGAGGAUAAUGAAUAUUGGAAGUUUGUGAUACGUCAGAAGGUUACACUCAUUUCCUGUCCAGAUGUUGAGCAACAGCAACCCUCCGAUCCGGCAGGCAAGUUGGCGGCAGCGAUGGCGGUGGCGGUGGCAGCGGUGGUGAGGUGGACGGCAGGGACAGAGGGGCAGUACAGGCUGCGGACAUCAAGGAGAAGAGGAACGCACGGACAAGCAAGGUGGCACUCGGCAGUCUGAUCCUGGACCUGCGCAGCUUUGACGGUGGUGGUGCCUCUGUCUCCUGCUCUCCUUGACUAUUACCCCAAGCAUAACUCCAGCGGCUUGUAUUCCUCUGUGUGGUAAUAAGUCUGUGUGGCUUAUUACCAGCAUAUCAUCCACGUCCCUGCAAGGUUCCAUUCUGUCUUGUCUGGUGGCACUGAUCAGCGUGGCAUUCAGCAUAGGCUUCACCGUCGGGCCAGCUGUGGGGGCUGGGUUCUCCCGCUGGGGAAGUACUGGGUGGUUUGCGGCCUCGGUUGUCUACGCACUCACUCUCGCUGUGGCUAACAUAAUAUUCUUUGUUGUCUUCUUCCAGGAAUUGCUGCCUGAGGGCCUAAUGAUGAUGAUUCCUGCUUUCAUCCUCAUCGGGGCUAACGAGACCAACCUGGGGCUGUACUCUGGACUGACGCUGUAUGCCAUAGAGACCGGCGUGCCCUUGUGUCUUCCCUGCGGCUGUUGUCCCUGGUCCACGGUCUGAACUUCCAAGCCGGCUGCCGAGUGGGGCGGUUGAACUGCGACGACUUUUACAUCCCAGAAAUUGCAGAGAAAAUUGAUAUUAGGAAUGAUUACUUGAACUGGAUGAACAGCAGGCUUCACCCGAUGUCCAGGAGGGAGAGUCCAAUCCUGUUGUGUGAGUAUCCAUUCUUGUUCGACCCUCAGGCCAAGACGCUGCUGCUCAGGUGUGACGCCACUCGUCAGGUGAGAACCAGGGCGAAUAUUUCCCAGACCACCCGGUCAUACGCACAUUCUGGGAAGUAUUUCACAAACUCUCCCUGGAGCAGAAGAAGUGGUUUUUGAAGUUCCUGACAGGCACGGACAGGGUUCAUAUUCUGGGCAUGAAGGCACUCAAGUUGAUAUAUAAUCCAAAGCACAGCAGACGACAGCUUCCUUCCGGUCGCACACACCUGCAUCGCCCAACUCAACCUGCCAAGAUACAACACCUCCUUCCGGUCGCACACACCUGCAUCGCCCAACUCAACCUGCCAAGAUACAACACCUCCUUCCGGUCGCACACACCUGCAUCGCCCAACUCAACCUGCCAAGAUACAACACCUCCUUCCGGUCGCACACACCUGCAUCGCCCAACUCAACCUGCCAAGAUACAACACCUCCUUCCGGUCGCACACACCUGCAUCGCCCAACUCAACCUGCCAAGAUACAACACCUCCUUCCGGUCGCACACACCUGCAUCGCCCAACUCAACCUGCCAAGAUACAACACCUCCUUCCGGUCGCACACACCUGCAUCGCCCAACUCGACCUGCCAAGAUACACAACACCAAAGAGAAGAUGAAAUACAAACUUCUCCAGGCCAGACAGCAGAGUGAAGGGUUCAGCCUGGUGUGAGGGGGUCAGGGGGUGUUGACGGGGUGUCAGGGGGUGUUGAAGGGUGUGGGGGGUCAGGGGGAGGCUGUGAGUUGGAUAAGAGUGACCUUGUGUGUGUGUGUGUGUGUGUGUGUGUGUGUGUGUGUGUGUGUGUGAGAGAGAGAGAGAGAGAGAGAGAGAGAGAGAGAGAGAGAGAGAGAGAGAGAGAGAGAGAGAGAGAGAGAGAGAGAGAGAGAGAGAGAGAGAGAGAGUUUUAAAAGUGAGAGGCUGUGAGGGGUUUGUCAACAUACUGUGGGGCUGUGAGAGAGAGAGAGAGAGAGAGAGAGAGAGAGAGAGAGAGAGAGAGAGAGAGAGAGAGAGAGAGAGAGAGAGAGAGAG